UUUCAAUUCCAUAUGAAUUUGGAAAAGGCUUGUCAAUUUCUACAAUGAAGUCCACUAGGAAUCUGAUGGAUCCUGCUUUGAAUCUAGAGAUUACAAGUAGGCAGAGAGGCAGGCAGAGAAAGAGGGAAGCAGACUCCUUGCUGAGCAGAGAGCCCAAUGCAAUCCCAGGACCCUGAGAUCAUGACCUGAGCUGAAGGCAGAGGCUUUACCCA
rnacentral:lncRNA from 1 species